CCUACGGGAGGCAGCAGUGGGGGAUAUUGCACAAUGGAGGAAACUCUGAUGCAGCGACGCCGCGUGAGGGAAGACGGUCUUCGGAUUGUAAACCUCUGUCUUUAGGGAAGAAAAUGACAGUACCUAAGGAGGAAGCUCCGGCUAACUAUGUGCCAGCAGCCGCGGUAAUACGUAGGGAGCGAGCGUUGUCCGGAGUUACUGGGUGUAAAGGGUGCGUAGACGGGAAAGAAAGUUGACUGUUAAAUCUACCGGCUUAACUGGGAGCUGCGUCCAAAACUUGUUGUCUUGAGUUAAGGAGAGGAAGGCGGAAUUCCUAGUGUAGCGGUGAAAUGCGUAGAUAUUAGGAGGAACACCAGUGGCGAAGGCGGCCUGCUGGGCUUUAACUGACGUUGAGGCUCGAAAGCGUGGGGAGCAAACAGGAUUAGAUACCCCUGUAGUC
rnacentral:rRNA from 1 species